rnacentral:piRNA from 1 species
UGACUGCCAGAUGAGCCAAUAGUCAGC